rnacentral:rRNA from 1 species
GUAGUUGAACCUUGGGCCUGGCUGGCCGGUCCGCCUCACCGCGUGUACUGGUCCGGCCGGGCCUUUCCCUCUGUGGAACCCCAUGCCCUUCACUGGGUGUGGCGGGGAAACAGGACUUUUACUGUGAAAAAAUUAGAGUGCUCCAGGCAGGCCUAUGCUCGAAUACAUUAGCAUGGAAUAAUAGAAUAGGACGUGUGGUUCUAUUUUGUUGGUUUCUAGGACCGCCGUAAUGAUUAAUAGGGACAGUCGGGGGCAUCAGUAUUCAAUUGUCAGAGGUGAAAUUCUUGGAUUUAUUGAAGACUAACUACUGCGAAAGCAUUUGCCAAGGAUGUUUUCAUUAAUCAGGAACGAAAGUUAGGGGAUCGAAGACGAUCAGAUACCGUCGUAGUCUUAACCAUAAACUAUGCCGACUAGGGAUCGGACGAUGUUAUUAUUUUGACUCGUUCGGCACCUUACGAGAAAUCAAAGUGCUUGGGCUCCAGGGGGAGUAUGGUCGCAAGGCUGAAACUUAAAGAAAUUGACGGAAGGGCACCACCAGGGGUGGAGCCUGCGGCUUAAUUUGACUCAACACGGGGAAACUCACCAGGUCCAGACACAAUAAGGAUUGA